AUUGUACUUCCUCCGUCCAACAAAAUAUGUCUCAAGUUUGUCAAAAUUUAGACGUAUCUAGAUGUGAUUUAGUAUAUAGAUGCAUUCAAAUUUAGUUAAAGUUGAGACAUUUUUUGUUGGACAUAGAGAGUAGUAU
rfam:Brachypodium distachyon strain Bd21 chromosome 1, whole genome shotgun sequence.